rnacentral:lncRNA from 1 species
UUUCUCUGCUCGAGUAUCUUUCAACCACCCAUCAAGGUAUACUUGGUUGGAGUCAGGGGUAGAUUUUGUUCUCGUCGUUUCGAAUAUCUUUCAACCAUCCAUCAAGGUAAACUUGGUUGGAAUCAGAGGAGGAUUCUUUCUUUUUCAGCUCGAGUGUCUUUCAACCAACCAUCAAGAUAAACUUGUUUGGGAUCAGAGGUGGAUUUUGUUUUCUCUACUCGGGUAUCUUUCAACCACCCAUCAAGGUAUACUUGGUUGGAGUCAGGGGUAGAUUUUGUUCUCUCGUUUCGAAUAUCUUUCAACCAUCCAUCAAGGUAAACUUGGUUGGAGUCAGACAUGGUUUUUGUUUGCUUUGCUCGAGUAUUUUUCAACCAUCCAUCAAGGUAAACUUGGUUGGAGUCAGAUGUAGAUUUUUCUUUCUCAGCUCGGGGAUCUUUUAACCAUCCAUCAAGAUAAACUUGUUUGGAGUCAGAGGUGGAUUUUGUUUUCUCUGCUCGGGUAUCUUUCAACCAUCCAUCAAGGUAAACUUGAUUGGAGUUAGGCAUGGACUUUUCUUUCUCGACUCUGAUAUUUUUCAACCAUCCAUCAAGAUAAACUUGGUUUGAGUCACUUGCAGGUUUUGUUUUCUCAACUCGGGUAUUUUUCAACCAUCCAUCAAGGUAAACUUGGUUGGAUUCAGAGGUGGAUUUUGCGUUCUCUGCUCUGGUAUCUUUCAACCAUCCAUCAAGGUAAACUUGGUUGGAGUUAGGUGUUGACUUUUCUUUCUCAGCUCUGAUAUCUUUCAACCAUCCAUCAAGAUAAACUUGGUUGGUGUCACCGGUAGAUUUUGCUUUCUCAGCUCGAUUAUCUUUCAACCAUCCAUCAAGGUAAACUUGGUUGGACUCAGAGGUGUCUUUUGCUUUCUUUGCUCUGGAAUCUUUCAACCAUCCAUCAAGAUAAACUUGAUCAGAUUUCUGGGAGGAUUUGGUUUUCUCUGCUCGUGUAUCUUUCAACCAUCCAUCAAGAUAAACUUGGUUAGAGUUAGCAAUGUGUUUUUGACUCUUCAAUGGAUUUUUGAGCCAACCAUCAAGGUAAGGUUGAUCAGCUUGUAUUUCUUGUACAUUCUCUUGCUGAAGUUUGAUAUAUCGGGCAAAGCUUCCUUGUCCAUUCUACAAUACAAUUGAAUAAAUGGAUAUUAGUGAGUUAUUUUUGGAUGGUAUAUAUGAUUACAAAAACAAAAUAAUGUGUUUUAUAAGACACAUUAUGU